rnacentral:lncRNA from 1 species
UAGUCACUUUAUACACACUUUGUACAUGAUUUCUACAUCUUUCUUCAUCUUCCUACACCCUUAGUAAACCUUUUCAAGAGUCUAUCUACACCCUUUCUACAUCCUUUCUAACCCCUUUAUAUACCAUUUGGACACCCUUCUGUAGCCUUUCUACAUAUUGUUUAAAAAGAGUUAGAAUGGGUCUUCGCCCAAAGUACACCCUUUUUACACCCUUUGUACACAUUUUAUACACCCUUUAUACAACAUUUGUAAACCCUUUGUACUCACUUUAUACACACUUUGUACACGAUUUCUACAUCUUUCUUCAUCUUCUUACACCCUUACUAACCCUUUUCAAGAAUCUUUCUACACCCUUUCUACAUCCUUUUUAACCCCUAUAUAUACCAUUUGUGCACCCUUCUGCAACCUUUCUACAUAUUUUUUAAAAAGAGGUAGAAUGGGUCUACACCCUUUGUACACCCUUUAUAAGCCUUUUUACACCCUUUAUACACCCUUUAUACAACAUUUGUAAACCCUUUGUACUAAUUUUAUACACACUUUGUACACGAUUUCUACAUCUUUCUUCAUCUCCUUACACCCUUACUAAACCUUUUCAAGAGUCUUUCUACACCCUUUCUACAUCGUUUCUAACCCCUUUAUAUACCAUUUGUGCACCCUUCUGCAGUCUUUUUACAUCUUUUUUAAAAAGAGAUAGAAUGGGUCUACACCCUUUGUACACCCUUUAUAAACCUUUUGCACAACCUUUAUACACCCUUUAUACAACAUUUGUAGACCCUUUGGACUCGAUUUAUACACACAUUGUACACGAUUUCUUCAUCUUUCUUCAUCUUCUUACAACUUACUAAACAUUUUCAAGAGUCUUUCUACAUCCUUUCUACAUCCUUUGUAACCCCUUUAUAUACCAUUUGUGCACCCUUCUGCAGCCUUUCUACAUAUUUUUUAAAAAGAGGUAGAAUGGGUCUACACCCUUUGUCCACCCUUUAUACACCUUUUGUACACCCUUUAUACAACAUUUGUAAACCCUUCUUUGUACUCAUUUUAUACACAUUUUGUACACGAUUUCUACAUCUUUCUUCAUCUUCUUACACCCUUACUAAAUCUUUUUGAGAGUCUUUCUACACCCUUUCUACAUCCUUUCUAACCCCUUGAUAUACAAUUUGUGCAACCUUCUGCAGCCUUUCUACAUUUUUUUUAAAAUAGGUAGAAUGGGUGUACAGUCUUUGUACACCCUUUCUACACCCUUUGUUCACCCUUUAUACACCCUUUAUUCGACAUUUGUAAACCCUUUGUACUCACUUUAUACACACUUUGUAGAUGAUUUCUACAUCUUUCUUCUUCUUCUAACACCCUUACUAAACCUUUUCAAGAGUCUUUCUACACCCUUUCUAACCCCUUUAUAUACAAUUUCUGCACGUUUCUGCAGCCUUUCUACAUAUUUUUUAAAAAGAUGUAGAAUGGGUCUACACCCUUUGUACACCCUUUAUACACCCUUGGUACA